rnacentral:rRNA from 1 species
UACAGAGGUCUCAAGCGUUGUUCGGAUUCAUUGGGCGUAAAGGGUGCGUAGGCGGCGCGGUAAGUCGGGUGUGAAAUCUCGGAGCUUAACUCCGAAACUGCAUUCGAUACUGCCGGUGCUUGAGGACUGGAGAGGAGACUGGAAUUUACGGUGUAGCGGUGAAAUGCGUAGAUAUCGUAAGGAAGACCAGUGGCGAAGGCGGGUCUCUGGACAGUUCCUGACGCUGAGGCACGAAGGCCAGGGGAGCAAACGGG